GGGUCAGUUGGAAAGACAUGGGUUGGGGUCAAUGAAUCCCAAUAUUUGGGGUCACUGAAGCCAAAAUUUGGGGUCAAGAAGGCCAAAAAUGGGGGUCAGUGGGAGGGACGUGUGUUGGGGUCAAUGAGACCCAAAGUUUGGGGUCACCAGGGCCAAAACUUGGGGUCAAGAAGGCCAAAAUUUGGGGUCAGUGGGAGGGACACGGGUUGGGGUCAAUGAAGCCGAAGUUUGGUGCCAACCAAGCCCAGAAACUGGAGGUCACCAAGAACCAAAUUUGGGGGUGAACGAGGUGCUGAUCUGAGCUGAAACGAGCCCGUUUUUGGACUCAAGAACGCCAGAAGUUGGGCCGGGGCGAAAAAAAUCCCACGUUGAGAAAAAAAACAAAGCCCAAGCCAUCAGGAAAAGAAACCAGCACCGGGUGUAACGAAAACGAAUAACGCAGCGCUCGACGCCUUGUCGGGCACAACGAAGCCAUCCUGCCUAAACCUGGUGGGAAGCGGGUGAAAAUU
rnacentral:lncRNA from 1 species